rnacentral:misc_RNA from 1 species
GGAAGGAUCAUUAAAGGAUACUUAUACAAAACACACAAAAACCAGGGGUAAGGUUAGGAGGUAGGGGGAACGAGGGGUUUUUAACCUUCUUUUUUCCCUUUCCUUUUAGCUGAGCUCUUGUUAAAAAAUCCACAGACCUGAUUGUGGUUCCUCCUUGUUGUUUUUUUUAGUAGCGGAAACUCAGGCUCCCCCCCCUAUUUCUUAGGGAUAAGUUAGGGGGGGAUCUGCCUUUUCACUCUUUAAAGAACUUUUUUAGGAUAAAAACAGCCCCCCUCUUUCUUAGGGAUAAGUUAGGGGGAUGUGCCUUUUACUCUUAGAAGCUUUUGGGAUUAGAAACUGCCUUUCGGGCUUUUUUUACCCCUAAAAGUCAGGGUGCUUAUGGGACUUUUUUUGAUUAUCUUAGGAACGCAAGGAACUCUAGGAUGACGGUUAACUUUUGCACUGGACUUUUGCCAGGAAAACUCUCCAUGUUGGGUCUCUAAGGGGGGUGAGUACAGGGGACUGUUCUUAUGAAAUGUUAGCCUGACUGGUUUUCUUAGGCACCUUAGUCAAAAGAAGGGGGACCCGUAGGAAAUCGAUGUCGUUAAGACCCAACAAAAACUUAAAAACCUUAUACAUAUAUUAAACACAUACAAAAAUUAUACGCUUGUACAACUUUUAACGGUGGAUGUCUCGGCUUUCGUAUCGAUGAAGAACGUAGCAAAGUGCGAUAAGUGAUGGAAAUUGCAGAAUACUUCGACUCAUCGAAUUUUUGAAUGCAACCUGCACCCGGGGCUCGUCCUCGGGUCUACCUAUUUGAGCUCGGUUUUUUUACACAAAAUCUUUUCUCUUAUACCUUUAGGGGUACAAGAGAGGGGGAAUUUGAGGCGUUAACUAAACUUUUACCAACUCUUGGCGAGUCUUUUACCUUGCCAACCGGUUUUAGUGGAGUUAUCCCUUUAAAUGCGCAAAUUAUACUUUAGGGGACCGUAUUUCUCCAGGGAUUUAUUCUUAGCUAAAAUCGUUCACUCGAUUUUUUAUGAGCUUAAAGACCAGGGGACGUUAGGUAACUUAUGGUGUAAGACUUAAACCCAUCCAGAAUCUAGUCCCUUUUAACAGGGCUAGGGGGCAAAAAAGAGGGGGUCUUUUCUUCGGAAAAAAACUCUUUCUUCUCAUUUACACCGACUCAAAUUAGGUAGGAUUACCCGCUGAAUUUAAGCAUAUUAUUAGGCGGAGGAAAAGAAAUUAACUAAGAUUCCCUCAGUAAUGGCGAAUGAACAGGGAAAAGCUCACGCUGAAUCUGUGGAGAUUAACUUCUUUACCGAAAUGUGGCGUUUCAACUGGUCUUGUCGGAUGAUCUGGCGGCUAAAGUUCCCCGGAAAGGGACACCAUAGAGGGUGACAGUCCCGUGAGCUGUUAAAGGUCGUUCGUACAGUGGCCGGCUUGUGGAGUCGGGUUGUUUUGGAGUACAACUCUAAUCGGGUGAUAAACUUCAUCCAAAGCUAAAUAUUAACGAAAGACCGAUAGCGAACAAGUACCGUGAGGGAAAGGUGAAAAGAACUUUGAAAAGAGAGUUAAAAGUACCUGAAACCGUUAAAAGGUAAGCGAUCGGCACCAUCGUUUACUAGAGCUCGUGAUUCAUCUGUAGUUCUUGUAGGGGUGUGACUAAGGGAGUAGGUAAAAGGACCCAUUUUGUUGCAUUCCGAAGAGUUAUGCGGUGCACUUUGUGGGCUUUUAUUGCGUUAGGGUCAUCUCUAUUGGGGAUAAUAAGGAUCGUGUGGAGGUACCCAGCUUUUAGUUGGGAUUAACGUACGGGUACCUGUCCUCGGUAGGGAUGAGGGUCUCGAAAGGGAUAACAUUGUUGGGGGUAUUCUUGGCUAGGGUUUGGGGGGUAGGUAAAAGGAUCUCCCAAUUCGACGCCUGAAACUCGACAUAGACCUUGACUUAGAUGGAAUCGAUCGUCCCGUCUUGAAACACGGACCAAGGAGUUUAAAUUGUGCGCGAGCUUUAGGGUGUGAAAACUCAAGGGCGAAAUGAAAGUAAACUACGCCUGAAGCCUCUUUACUGAGGAUCUGCAAGGUGAACCGGCAUCAUCUUAUUAGUUGAUGUCUGAGUAAGAGUGUACAGUUUAAGACCCGAAAGGUGGCGAACUAUGCUUGUGUAGAGUGAAGCCAGAAGAAAUUCUGGUGGAGGCUCGUAGCGGUAUUGACGUGCAAAUCAUUCGUCAAACAUGGGUAUAGCGGCGAAAGACUAAUCGAGCCGCCUAGUAGCUGGUUCCUCU